UUAUAAACUGGAUUAUGUACAAAUAUAUUUAAUGUCGAAAGUCUUGUUAGCUGUUUAUGUUUUCUUGUGCUUCCUUUUGGGUUAAUGAAUUCAUGCUUUAAAUGGUAACAUCUGGUAGUCAAAAAAGAGAAAUAAAAAGGUGAUAGACAAUUCAGUGGAUUUACUAUGUAAGUUUCUUUAGAGCAUUAACAAAGUCAUUUUGCCAUUUAUGAAAAUAAGGCAGCCUUCAUACUUGUUUUUCCAACAAAAAAUCCCCCUUUUUUCGGUCAUGUUUUGCAUAACCAGUUGUUGGCUGCAUUAAUCCUGUAUAAUUGUAGAUCAUUGACAGAUUCAUUAUCUUGGCCUUCUGUCUUCUUUCCUAUUUGCAACUAACUCUAGAUGAUAGUCCCAACCAACAAAGCCUUUUGAUAGAUGACCCAAGUUGAUGCAUGAUCCAAUCAGUGAACUCGUAAUAGUGGAUCUUUGGUCAGGACCAUGCUUUCCCUUUUCAUUAUUACCAAUCCUGUGUAAUUUGUGUUUUGUUUCUUUUGAUGCAUUCUUGAGUUAGCAUCAUUUGUAUCUGUUUAAAACUCAAAAGUUGCAGAGUAAUAAAACCCCUCCAUCAGUUUGUCGCAUGUUUUAAUCUUGUUCAAAUAUGAUUCAAAUACAAAUAUGCAAGGCAAGCUUCUCAAGGCCUACAUGUUCUGACCCUUUUGAGUUGUUGGUAAACUUAAGCUAGGUUACAUCAAAUAGGAUCCCGGUGUUUUAAAUAAGUAGGGAAGCUAAAAGACCCAGGAUGCAUGCAGAGAAAGCAAUAGAAGACACUAUAACAAAACUGACAAAGUUCUACUUCAUAAUGUCUUUGUUUUUUUUUUAAAAUAAUAAGUGCAUUUGGCAGUUAUGUUGUAAAAAAGCUGUCAAACAUCAACUUAACAGAAUGAUGCAAUAAUAAAUAAGGUUUGCCAGAAUAAUAUGCGGAAACAGUGAAAAUGCUUUUAUAGGUCAAGAGAGAGAUUAUUUAAUGGCCUUCUAUUGCGAGCCUGUAUGCGAGAACGCAUGCGCAUGCGAGAGAGAGGGAGAGAGAGUUUCCUUAGUGGCUGCAGCAUCUAUGAGUAGAAUAUUAACAGCUAAGGAUUUGAUUCACACAAACUUGUGGAGCUCACUCCCGUGCCUCCAUUUUCUCAGUCAAAUUGAUUAUUUCUUCCCCCAAAUUGCCUUUAUCAAUGGUUAUGUCUAAUUUUGUCAUUUGGUCUAGUUGUACAAGGCUGCCUUACCAAUUUUACUUAUUAACAUGAUUUGUUUUUGCAUGUCAGAGGGGAAAAAGUUUUCCUAUAUUGUUUUAUAGGCUUCUUAACCACUAGAUCAGCACAUAUUAUGAUAGAUUAAGGCAUUAAUUUGUAAUUGUGGUUGGUUGGACCAGUUCAACCAACUUGAUAAACCAUUUUCUUGUUCCUGUUGCCAAGUGUUUUCUGAAUUCUUGAGAUGCUAAUCUUUUCUCAAUUUGGUACCAGUUUGUUUGAUGCUGUGGCUCUGUAUUUUUUCUUUCCACUGGUGUCUAUUACCAAUCUUCUAGUAUUAUUUCACCAAAAUUUUGAACACUUAAUUGUGGGAGUUUAGAAAUGGUAGAGUUCCUCUUCUGUUGCUACACUUGGUUGGUAGAUGUACCUAUCUAGUUCCAAGAGAUAGGCUCAGCCUGCAGAAUACAUGUUUGUUAUGGUGAAACGUGAUGAAUAUAUUCCGUGGGGACUUCUCUUCAUGCAUCAACAUUAACAUCCUGGGUUCUUUUGGAUGUGCUUUUGAAUUAUAUGCUUUCUGAGAGAUCGACAUUUAUAUAUUUGAUGUGGUGAUCACAAGGCAGUUUAUACACUUUGUAAUGGCAAAUUGAUCUUCCCAUGAUUCCUUUUAUGUUAACAAAAGUUCUGUUGUUUGAUGCUGCAUGUAUGGCUAACUGACGAGGAAGCUAAAAACGGUUAGAGCUGAAAAAAAGACACUAGAGCCUUAAACUAGGAGUGAGAUGCUGUGCAUCACGUGUUUCGAGUACUUGAGUUUCAGAUUGCAAUCUGAUUUCUCAGCCGUAAUAUAAGAAUUUUAUUAGGUAAGUUCAGUUAUUGUAGAAUUAUACCUCUGGUAAUAGUUAAUCGACUAUUAAUUUGUAUGUCUUGGGUCAGUUUGGCAAGAUAAUCUUUUUUAAGUGUUAAAAUAACCAGAGAGCUUUUUUUAUUGGACUUGUUUAUACUGGAAUUGAGAAGCCCAAUCUAAUUUGCUAUGAUUUAAGAGCUUUGAAAACUACCAUCUUAAGAAUCAUGUAGGCUACACACUUGAACAUUCAAUAUCAAGUGGUAAGUUUGUUUUUAUCUGUUGCUUCUGGUUCUGCAAUGAUGCAAGUUUUGAUUCCACUGAAGAUGAUGAUUAGGUUAUGACAAUACAUCUUUCAAAGAUGCUAGCCUCUACCCCUAGGCCCCACACAAAAAACACACGCACACACACACGCACACACAAGAGACCUCUGUUAAAAGAUCCAGUAGUCUGCCUUCAUUUAUUGCUGUUUAUGGAGAUGCAUCUUGAUCUCCUAAUGCUGUUGCUUUUAUUAUUAUUAUUUUUCAAAUAUCUACAACUGUAUUCUUAUUAGUUUUUUAGGUUGAAUAAUUGAUGGCUUGAUGCCUUCUCAAAUUUGCUUGUAAGUUCAUCAAAUGCCAUUAUAUAUGGAUCUUGUUUAUAGAGAUCUAUGCAAUAGACUCCCUUGAUUGUAUUACUGCAACAUCAUAUGAUUCUCAUUUUAUUAGCAUCCUGAUUUCUGAGAGUAAUAUAUGUCUUGAUGCCUUUAGUUUUUCAAAGUUUCAAUGCUUGUAAUGUUGUCUAAGUUGAGCCUGAUGAAAGCCCCUUUGCUUGUUCAACCUUAGCCACAUCCUUAUAUACAAUGUAGAGUAGGAGAAAAGAUUAUUGGAUUGUUAGAAGGAUUUAGCUCUAAUAUCUAAAUUGGUCAAUCCAUCUGCUUUUUGAUAUUAAUCUUAAUCAUGCAAGUUUAUUACUAUUGAACCACACACUCUUUUCUAUUCCCAGCCUGAAUUUUCUAGCUCUGCUAUUGUACUUGUACUCAAAUCACAUUUAGAAGUCAGUUUUGGGGAGAUGUUGUGACUUUCUACAGUGCUGACCAUACUUCGGUAGAAGAUCAGCUCUUUGGCAUAGGUGUGCUUGAUAAAUAUAGAUAGGCCUUCCUAAGCUGUAAUUUGAGCCUGGCCAUGCUAGAGCAUCCUCCUACUAAAUUGAAUGGCUAUUGUCUCAUAAUGCAGUGUUGGGAUGAUUGCUGCGACAGCUCCUUAUUUCAGUUACUCGUUCAAUUAGUAAGCUCGAGCUCUGUUGUAGGAUGAAUCAUAUUUAGCUGACAUGCCCUCCUUGCUAACUUUUUACCCCCCUUUAGUUGCCAGUCUAUUCAUUGAUUUUGUUUCUAAAAAACCAAUCACCCAGUGGAAUUGCUGUAGUUGUUACUUUUAAUUCAGAAUAGAUUAAGCGGUAAGGACUUGUGGCAGAAAUUACACCAUAUGCUUAUCAGUGCCGAAUGUUGUCUUGUCAACUUAUUAGGCUGCCUGAAUUGUUACAUUAUGGGAAUUAAUGAGUAUAUUCAAUUCAACCUCUGUAAAAUCCUCCAAGCUGUUUAAGGGUAGACUCUGUCAGCAAGUAACAGAUACAGACCUUUGCCAUUGUUUCCCUUCAGCCACUGGAAGCUUUUAGCUGACUUGUAUCUGGUAACUGUUUAACACAGUUUGUUAUGAACAUACCACUGGUUGGUAUAGCCGUGAUUUAUGCAUUUAUAAAAAUGGCUUCGGUACAGCAACUUGGAAUUUAAGUUACAAAAACCUUAAAUGCUAGUUGACUUUCUUGUCUAGAAAAUUAGAGCCCUCAAUCAUCAGUUCACUAACUGUUGUUAGUGUGCUAAAAUUUAUUCAAUAUCUGUUAGCUCCUGGAAUCUAUAAUAUUGUUACUAUAAUCUUUAUAGCUUAAGUUGCUCCUUAAAAGAGAACAUUAUCAAGGACUUGUCUUGGCUAAAGGUAAGCAUUUGCCUUGUGACACUGCAUCACCCUUAAGUCAGCUCAAGCAGUGGACUGUUCAUGAUAUUGCAUGAGCUGUAAAAAUGCAAAUGUUUGCAUGCUGCAGAUAUUGGUUUUGUUCUGGCAAACUUGAUAAUUGCCUUUGCAAUAAAAUUGCCUGAUAAAGAUAGUUUGUAGGAUACCAAUUCUUUCAAAAUGAUGAGGUGGGUAUUGGGUCCUGGUUGGAUUUGCCUUUCAGCUUUAUAGGAUGACUUUAUGAAGAAACUACGGAUGAUCUGAAGAUUGGUUGCAGCAUAUUGCUUCUGAGGCAUUAGUGAUGACUGCCCCUCGACUAAUCAUUGACUUUACUCUAGUUUGCUUUUAUCAUUAGGCUCAUUUUCAAUUUACUAUUUUUCCAUUUUGCCUCUGGUAUUGAGUAAUAAUGAUAUUAUCAGAGAUAUUCCACCUUAAGUAAGAGGGCAAAAUUGUUCUCUGCUAUUUUGCUCAAUUUGUAUGACUUGUUUCUCGAGAUGAUCAGGUAACAAGCAUUAUAAAUCUAGUGUGAUGAUGAUUUGGAUGCUCCACCCUAGAAAUAAUAAUUACAGAGGCAUUGUUCCAACUAGACCUGUUCAUGGGCCGCUCCUUGCUGCUCAGGCUAAGUUUUGCCCAAAGGUCAACAACACAAUUCAGUUAGCUCGGGCCUGGUCUGGCCCUUGGAUCAGAGAUAUUCCACCUUAAGUAAGAGGGCAAAAUUGUUCUCUGCUAUUUAGCUCAAUUUGUAUGACUUGUUUCUCGAGAUGAUCAUGUAACAAGCAUUAUAAAUCUAGUGUGAUGAUGAUUUGGAUGCUCCACCCUAGAAAUAAUAAUUACAGAGGCAUUGUUCCAACUAGACUUGUUCAUGGGCCGCGCCUUGCUGAGCUCAGGCUAAGUUUUGCCCAAAGGUCAACAACACAAUUCAGUUAGCUCGGGCCUGGUCUGGCCCUUGGGCCUACCUUCUAGGCAUAAGCCCGGUCCUUACUUGGGCUUUGGGCUACGCCUUGAGCUUCCUGAUCAUUUUUAUUUUUUAGAAAUAUUAGAAAGAUACUUAAAAUAAUUUGGAAAAUGCUAAACAUGAAUAAUUAAAUAUUGCCAACAACUUACAACAUGUCUAAUAUCCCAUUAAGUUCAUAUAUUGACAACAAUUCUCAAUUAAGUCCACCAAUACAUCAUACAUAGGCAAACGACACAAGGAACAUGAGAAAAAAUUCGGGUUGGGCUGGGCUUUAAUCCCAAGCCUGAGCCUGACACAUUUGUUAAC
rnacentral:lncRNA from 1 species